CGCCUUCAGUUCGCGAGGGUGACGAGUGGGUGUUCGUGUCGUAUACACGCGAUGUGCCUCCCUCAAACCUUGAUACUUGUGAGCACAUUACCCGUCUGACG